rnacentral:rRNA from 1 species
GGAGUUAGCCGGUGCUUCUUCUGCGAGUAACGUCACAGAUGUAAGGUAUUAACUUACACCCUUUCCUCCUCGCUGAAAGUGCUUUACAACCCGAAGGCCUUCUUCACACACGCGGCAUGGCUGCAUCAGGGUUUCCCCCAUUGUGCAAUAUUCCCCACUGCUGCCUCCCGUAGGAGUCUGGGCCGUGUCUCAGUCCCAGUGUGGCUGAUCAUCCUCUCAGACCAGCUAGGGAUCGUCGCCUAGGUGAGCCUUUACCUCACCUACUAGCUAAUCCCACCUGGGCUUAUCCAUCAGCGCAAGGCCCGAAGGUCCCCUGCUUUCCCCCGUAGGGCGUAUGCGGUAUUAGCAGUCGUUUCCAACUGUUAUCCCCCACAAAUGGGCAAAUUCCCAGGCAUUACUCACCCGUCCGCCGCUCGUCAUCUUCAAAAGCAAGCUUUUGAAAUGUUACCGCUCGACUUGCAUGUGUUAGGCCUGCCGCCAGCGUUCAAAUCUGAGCCAGGAUCAAAACUCUGA